CUAAAAUAUGAGAUCGUGUAGAAGGGAUAUUUGACUAGAAAUCAGGAUCUGAUUGGAUGAAGUUUUUCUCAGAUUUUCAAGAUAUUUUUUUUUUGAGGGAUGAAUGGUUGAAUCGUGGGUAGAUGGGCAGAUCACAUGGUUGGCGGUGAAUCUUAAAUUCGUUCCAUACAGGUAAAUCUUCCCUGUUAAGAAUUAUUUUGGAUGAGAAUUUUCUAUUUUUGAAGAGAAGAAUAUUCACCCAUUUGGAAAGAAGAUGGAUAAACAGAAAAACCUUAGUUUUAUCUCAAAAUCAGAGAAAAUCAUAGAAAAACAAGCUAAGGAAUGAUUUCGAUUUUGGUUAAUCUUCAAUUUUUUGGCGCCAUGUAAAUCAAAAAGGGAAAAAAGCUGGACGGGAUAUCUUCCAUUUUCUCUCCUAUAAAUACAGCCCCAAAGUUAUCAAGUUUUUCUCACAAGAUACUGAUUGAAGGCUGAUUCUACCCCUUGGUUAUCCUAACUUCAAGGAUUUUCAGAACUCUAACUUAAGGACACAAUGAAUGAGCUAAUGCAGCAAGGCAGUGAAGCAGGAGCUACACCACCGACUGAAGCAUAAGUAUUUGCUCAAGUUUUGAAGAAAAAGCAAAGACGAUGUCGUGCUACAACCACUAAUUAUAAAACUGAAGGACUUCAUGCAAUGUUACAGGCACAGGCUGAUGAUAGAGUUCAAGCUCAGGAUGACCAAAUACGUGCUCAGAAUGAGGUUAUCAAAAUGUUGAAAUAAGAUAACAAAAAGCUCAGGAUGACCAAGUUA